CCUACGGGUGGCAGCAGUCGAGAAUUAUUCACAAUGGGGGAAACCCUGAUGGUGCAACGCCGCGUGAAUGAUGAAGGUCUUCGGAUUGUAAAGUUCUUUUCUAAGGGAAGAAGAAAGUGACGGUACCUUAGGAAUAAGCCUCGGCUAACUACGUGCCAGCAGCCGCGGUAAUACGUAGGAGGCAAGCGUUAUCCGGAAUGACUGGGCGUAAAGGGUGCGUAGGUGGUUUGACAAGUUGGUAGCGUAACUCCGGAGCUCAACUUCGGAACUACUACCAAAACUGUUGGACUCGAGUGCAGGAGGGGCAACUGGAAUUUCUAGUGUAGCGGUGGAAUGCGUAGAUAUUAGGAAGAACACAGGUGGCGAAGGCGAGUUGCUGGACUGUAACUGACACUGAGGCACGAAAGCGUGGGGAGCAAACAGGAUUAGAUACCCCUGUAGUC
rnacentral:rRNA from 1 species